rnacentral:rRNA from 1 species
UACAGAGGGUGCGAGCGUUAAUCGGAAUUACUGGGCGUAAAGCGUGCGUAGACGGUUACAUAAGUCGGGUGUGAAAGCCCCGGGCUCAACCUGGGAAUUGCAUUCGAGACUGCGUAGCUAGGGUGCGGAAGAGGGAAGCGGAAUUUCCGGUGUAGCGGUGAAAUGCGUAGAUAUCGGAAGGAACACCAGUGGCGAAGGCGGCUUCCUGGACUUAGACUGACACUGAGGCACGAAAGCGUGGGGAUCAAACAGG